UACGGGGGGAGCGAGCGUUUUCCUUCAUAAUUUGGCGUAAAGCGUUCUAAGACGGCUCUAAUAUGUUUAUAAUAAAAAUGUUAGGGUAGUACCCUAAACCUAAUUAUCUAACAAAAGAGUAUAGCGAAUAUCAAAGGUUAACCAUAUUUUUAUAGAGUGUGGGGUAGAAUCCUAACUAUGAAGGAAUGCCGAGCUGUGGCAGGUUUCUAGGAUAUUCUUUAGUUGAAAGAGCGAAAGCGUGGGUAGCAAACAGG
rnacentral:rRNA from 1 species